rnacentral:rRNA from 1 species
AACGCUGGCGGCGUGCCUAAUACAUGCAAGUAGAACGCUGAAGAGAGGAGCUUGCUCUUCUUGGAUGAGUUGCGAACGGGUGAGUAACGCGUAGGUAACCUGCCUUGUAGCGGGGGAUAACUAUUGGAAACGAUAGCUAAUACCGCAUAACAAUGGAUGACACAUGUCAUUUAUUUGAAAGGGGCAAUUGCUCCACUACAAGAUGGACCUGCGUUGUAUUAGCUAGUAGGUGAGGUAAUGGCUCACCUAGGCGACGAUACAUAGCCGACCUGAGAGGGUGAUCGGCCACACUGGGACUGAGACACGGCCCAGACUCCUACGGGAGGCAGCAGUAGGGAAUCUUCGGCAAUGGGGGCAACCCUGACCGAGCAACGCCGCGUGAGUGAAGAAGGUUUUCGGAUCGUAAAGCUCUGUUGUAAGUCAAGAACGGGUGUGAGAGUGGAAAGUUCACACUGUGACGGUAGCUUACCAGAAAGGGACGGCUAACUACGUGCCAGCAGCCGCGGUAAUACGUAGGUCCCGAGCGUUGUCCGGAUUUAUUGGGCGUAAAGCGAGCGCAGGCGGUUUGAUAAGUCUGAAGUUAAAGGCUGUGGCUCAACCAUAGUUCGCUUUGGAAACUGUCAAACUUGAGUGCAGAAGGGGAGAGUGGAAUUCCAUGUGUAGCGGUGAAAUGCGUAGAUAUAUGGAGGAACACCGGUGGCGAAAGCGGCUCUCUGGUCUGUAACUGACGCUGAGGCUCGAAAGCGUGGGGAGCGAACAGGAUUAGAUACCCUGGUAGUCCACGCCGUAAACGAUGAGUGCUAGGUGUUGGAUCCUUUCCGGGAUUCAGUGCCGCAGCUAACGCAUUAAGCACUCCGCCUGGGGAGUACGACCGCAAGGUUGAAACUCAAAGGAAUUGACGGGGGCCCGCACAAGCGGUGGAGCAUGUGGUUUAAUUCGAAGCAACGCGAAGAACCUUACCAGGUCUUGACAUCCCGAUGCUAUUUCUAGAGAUAGAAAGUUACUUCGGUACAUCGGUGACAGGUGGUGCAUGGUUGUCGUCAGCUCGUGUCGUGAGAUGUUGGGUUAAGUCCCGCAACGAGCGCAACCCCUAUUGUUAGUUGCCAUCAUUCAGUUGGGCACUCUAGCGAGACUGCCGGUAAUAAACCGGAGGAAGGUGGGGAUGACGUCAAAUCAUCAUGCCCCUUAUGACCUGGGCUACACACGUGCUACAAUGGUUGGUACAACGAGUUGCGAGUCGGUGACGGCGAGCUAAUCUCUUAAAGCCAAUCUCAGUUCGGAUUGUAGGCUGCAACUCGCCUACAUGAAGUCGGAAUCGCUAGUAAUCGCGGAUCAGCACGCCGCGGUGAAUACGUUCCCGGGCCUUGUACACACCGCCCGUCACACCACGAGAGUUUGUAACACCCGAAGUCGGUGAGGUAACCUUUUGGAGCCAGCCGCCUAAGGUGGGACAGAUG